UGGCGCACGUCAUGUGGGAGUAGAUCUCCUUCACGUCACGUCGCAUGUUAAGCUCGAGGAACUGCACCUUGAUGUAGUUGCCGGCAUCCUCAAAACGUCCUUCUUGUUGAGGAAGAGCACGAUGGAUGUAGUGGCGAAGUAGCGGUGGUUGCAGAUGCUGUUGAACAGGUGCAGGCUCUCGUGCAUUCGGUUCUGGGGAAGGCAGAGGCUGUGGGGCACCAGGCCGGCAGCGGCCCCUUCGCCUCUGGGCUCCCGGGACUGAGGCGCCUCCCACCGCUCCCAGACAGCCUCGGCUUCUGUGAGUCUCGGUGGCUCCCCCGGCUCCACCUCCCUUCUCAAACCCUUAGGCCCAACUUGGCACUCACCACUUCGUCGUCCUCCACCAGCACCAUGUCGUAAGCGCUCAGUGCGGCGAUGAAAAUGAUGCAGGUCACACCCUCGAAGCAAUGGAUCCACUUUUUGCGCUCGGAACGCUGCCCGCCCACAUCGAACAUUCUGUAGGUCAGAGCCGUGUCCCGGAUUUAGACCCGUGUAUCAGGUCACCUGGAUAUGCCCACUGGCACCCCUUGUCUUCUUAAGCUGGCUGGGGCGCCCUCAUAUGGAUUGGCAUCUGAGGUGACCAGCCUUUCUCCUGGCAAGGGUAGGACCUUAACUCAGGACAGUGAAGUUCCCGUCAGGCCAGCUGAACAAGCGUGCAGGGGUCUUACCUGAAGUUGAGGUCCUUGAAGGAGAACUGCGUCUCGAUGAUGCCGGUGGUUUUGACACGAGAGCGCAACACGU